UAUCCUGCCUGCUCUGCUUCCAUUAUUACUACCUUUAGUCAAUGGCUGUCGAUAACUUUACAUCUAAAGAAUCAACAUACAUGGGCAGUGACAAAUGUUGCUAUCUAUAUUCUCAGGUGGAAUUUUCCAUGUUCAGAGUGUGAACUACUGUUUGAUUCUGUUAAAAGUGAAAAAGUGAGAACCAGUUAAGAAGUUUGAUGUUACUUAGCAGAUCUACGUAACUUUAACAUUAAAUUGAAAACAUUUCCUUCACAUUCAACCUAGAAAGUGAAAGACAGUGUGGAAGUCAACAGGAGAAACAUUAUGUCACCUAGCAGAUCUGGUGGUGCCAAGACCUAAUGGAAUGGGCAAUGCAAUGCCUUGAAGGAUGCAUGAGGGAAGAGGACAGCAUAGAACCUACACACUCACAGAAACUGUACUGAACCAGAAGGCUGUGUGGCAACUAUAUAGGAAUUACAUCUCUGCUACCUUCAGGAUGAGAGAGGGCCACACUCUCAGUGUUCGUUCCUGUAGGGUGUGAAAGCAAUGCCUGCUUCUAGAUGUCAUGGGGAGUGUCAGGUGGCAUACGCCAUACCCACUUAUAAAGAAGAGUGCUAGCUGGAAGAUGCUCAGUAACUGGGUUCUCACCAUCCCUGGCCCCAUAUCAUUUCCCUCUUUUCUAUUUUGCACCUAAUCAAAUUGAUCUCAUCUGCCACCAUCUAUCUAUCUCAGUCUGUCUGGCCAAAAGAACCUAUGCCUGUGACACGAUAAUCUUGCACUCAUUCUGUCUCAUGCUGACGCAUUUGUCUGCACUUUUGCUUCCUAUAGAACAUCUUGUGAAUAGUAGGGUUAUUGUCUUAUUUAUAAAAGAUUCUGUUUUCUUCAUCCCAUCCCUUACUACCACAAGAAAAGCUAUUCAAGAAUCCAGACACGUUUGACUUUCUAAGUUUCUAUUCUUCAAAUCAUUAAGAUAAAUCAGCAGCUUCUACAACCUUUGCUUUAUAUGACCACCAAUUAUAAAAACAAAAGAGGCAACCAUUUGGCAACUCUUCCCUCAGCCAAGAAUUACACUGAUGACACUUGUCCAGAAAAGGGAUUAUUUAAUAUCAGAGGAUUAGGGGUCAUCUGUCUAACAUCUUCCCUGUCAAAUCCAAGAAUAAAUUCCUCCCUAGCUCUGUUUCUGAAAUAGGUACCCAACAUACCCACAGUACCAAGAAUUUCUA